rnacentral:rRNA from 1 species
CUUUUUUUGUUUUAUUUUUUUUAUAUUAUUUUUGUAAAAUGUUUUAAUUUUAUUAUAUUUUUAAAGAUAUUGAAAAUUUGUUUGUUGAACUGGAUUAGUACCCAGGUAAUCAAAAUUUAUUAAUUCGGGAGUAAAGUUUUGUUUAAACCGAAAAAAUAUUGACUGACUUUAGAUUUUUCUUUGGAACAUGUGUAUGGAGAGUCCUCUUUUUUAGUGAGUUUUAUUGGCACAUGUAUGAUUGUUUAGUUUUUAUGUUAUUUUGUGAUGCUUUUUUUUGUUUAAUUGAAAAACAGAUAUAUAUUUGGUUUAUAAGCUUGUUAAUCAUGUGUUACUAUUAUUAAUUUUUUUUGGAUCUUUUUUUUAAUAUUUUGUGAAAUUGGAAAAGAAAGUAAUUAAAUUUUGAUAUUUUGAUGAAUUUAAUAAAUAAA